AGCGAACGCUGGCGGCAGGCCUAACACAUGCAAGUCGAACGAACUCUUCGGAGUUAGUGGCGGACGGGUGAGUAACACGUGGGAACGUGCCUUUAGGUUCGGAAUAACUCAGGGAAACUUGUGCUAAUACCGAAUGUGCCCUUCGGGGGAAAGAUUUAUCGCCUUUAGAGCGGCCCGCGUCUGAUUAGCUAGUUGGUGAGGUAAAGGCUCACCAAGGCGACGAUCAGUAGCUGGUCUGAGAGGAUGAUCAGCCACAUUGGGACUGAGACACGGCCCAAACUCCUCCGGGAGGCAGCAGUGGGGAAUCUGGCGAAAGGGGAGAAAGCCUGACGCAGCCAUGCCGCGGGAAUGAUGAAGUUCUUAGGAUUGUAAAAUUCUUUCACCGGGGACGAUAAUGACGGUACCCGGAGAAGAAGCCCCGGCUAACUUCGUGCCAGCCGCCGCGGUAA
rnacentral:rRNA from 1 species